ensembl:lncRNA
UCUCUACCAGCCACAGGGCCUGCUCUACCAGACACAGGGCCUGCUCUACCAGACACAGGGCCUGCUCUACCAGACACAGGGCCUGCUCUGGUUUACUUGGUGUUUGAUGGAGAAGGCGUAACCUUUGAACCCUUUAGUGAGACUGACCAGAGAACGACCAGGUCCUCCGCGCCAAUCAAACCCACAAUCAGUAAUUAUGUUUUUGCACUCAUUUUAUUUGGCACCAAUCCUAUUAAUGUGGGACCCAUGGAUGUUUUGAUUUUGGCUUUACAAAUGUUUUUAAAACAAUCUGGCGUAUUAAUUUAUCAAACAUGUCUUUGAAAUUUGCUCUUGCCCAUAAUUACAUUAUUGCACAUACCUCUGUUAUUAAAUGUACAGUAUUAAGGAGUCUUCAGGCUACUGUUUUGUCAGCGUGUUUCUUUACUGGUCCUGUUUAAUGUCCGUUAACAGUACAAUAGAAAGCCCAUAAUGCAUUGAAACAAUGCAUGCACAAUUAGUCAAAAUAAGACUAAUUAUGAGAGCAAGGGUGUUUCAAUGUGCUUCUAUUUGAGUCAUUUAAACAAAGCUCAGGAUCAAAUGUUUAGUAAAUGACCCUUCAGCCAGAAUCUGUCCACCCAUCUGAAGGGAAUGUCUGUAACUAGAUACAGACCCUUAUAGCGGGUCCACUGUGUCGAUUAAACAGAACAUUCUGGAUUCACUUGAGAGAACAUCCAUCUCUGGGAGAAGACCCUCCUCACCCCCCCUCUUGUUCUCAGUGCUGUCCCUAAACGACAGACGGCAGGCAGGAACUAUUAAUAGCAGCGAGGCUCACAGAGGGGCUGAUGUACAUGAACACACCAUAAACACCGCGAGCAGAACCCAACACCUGCCGCACAGCCUCCGCACGGCGCCGCUCACCGCAGCGCGCCGUUGGUUGGUGGCCGUCAUUAUUAAUAUGCUAUAGACCCCCCCCCCCCAGGUGUAUUUGCGUCCCACUCUAGAGCAAUCUGUUUGGAGAUGUUUGGUGGUGAAUAAUUGACGGGCUGUAUUGGGGGGUCCAGGCUAUAUAUAGAGGAGCAGCAGAGCGUGGGAGGGGUUAUGUAACCACACGUGAGCUCAGACGCACUCUGAUUGGACGCCUGAGAGGAGAGGAGGAAUCAAGAGGAGUGGGGACGGGGAGCCGCUCCUCCUCCUGCUGGCGGUCUGAGGGAGGUGCUCCUCCUCCUGCUGGUGGUCUGAGGGAGGUGCAGCUCCUCCUGCUGGUGGUCUGAGGGAGGUGCAGCUCCUCCUGGUGGUGGUCUGAAGGAGGUGCAGCUCCUCCUCCUGCUGGUCUGAAGGAGGUGCAGCUCCUCCUGGUGGUGCUCUGAAAGAGGUGCAGUUCCUCUUGGCCUGAGGACCGUCUCUUAGCUUAGGGCUGAUCCCAGCUACAGGUCUUCCUUACAGUCACAUGAGUAUAUCACGAUUUGUGAUGUCACAAAUCCAUUAAAUGACUUUGUUUCCAACUGUUUUGAGCUGUUUCAUUGGCCAACAAGUCAACAAAUUGUAUUUAUUGAAUGUCCAUCCCUCUUUAUCUGCGCUGUAUUGAACAGAGCAGCAACACACUCUCCUUCCACACUCAAAAGCAGAACUCUUAACUUUUUUUUUGUGUUUUGCAUGACAUUUAUUUUGGUUAUCUUCAUUUAAUUUGCUCCAUGUUAAAUUGUUAUACUUUGUAAGUGUAACAAUUUACACUUACAAAGAUAUUAAAAUGUAAAGAUAUUAAAAUGUGACAUAAG